rnacentral:tRNA from 1 species
GGGCGAGUGGCGGAAUGGCAGACGCGCCGGCCUUAGGAGCCGGUGCCCCGCAAGGGGCGUGAGGGUUCGACCCCCUCCUUGCCCA